GGCAGAAAUGAGAUUGUAAAGUGAGGAUAUUAAAACUGUAAUUGCUGAAACUAAAUGUGUCAAAGCAGCAGCACUUGUUGUGCAGGGAAUAACUCCUGUCAGCAGCAAGGCCCCGACUGAAGUGGCAGCUGCAGUUGUUCCUGUGGUGUGGGCCAGUGGAAUUGCAGGAGAGUGGAAGAGGGCAGAACUUGAUAUAGAUGCAAGAACCUGCCAAGAAAACCAAUGGCCAAGAUGAUUGAUGAGUGCAGGACCUGAGAGAAGCACCUUAAAUGACAACCUGGAGGAGUUUCCAGUAUUGGAUUUAAAAGAUGGCCUUUGCUGCAUCUCCUUGAGCAAGGAAAGCCAAGAAACCUUUGCUUUGGAAGGAGAGAAUCUGGAAAGCGGGAAGGAAGAAAAGAAGCCCCCUGACUCCUCCCUGAGCCCCAGACAGCCCAUGAAGUGCCUUGCUGGGAAUGGUAGGACGGGGUGGACUCUGGAUUGCUCCCUCUGGAUGUGUGGCUCUCCCCUCAGGAACU